rnacentral:lncRNA from 1 species
UACCUUAUAUAGAAACUAUAAACUAGAACUUUGGUUCAGAUCAUUUCAAUUCUAUCAACAAAAACUUGAAUGAACCUCAACUUAGACACAUGAAUUUUUAAUUAGUUGUUGUUAGUUUUCAACUAGCUUUCCACUUUGUCUUCACCCGACUUGCCAAUGUUGGUCGUCCGUUUGGCUGUGCAGGAUGCAUAAAUACGUAGUCACGUCUGGUCAGAAUGGGGACAUUUAAUCUUAUGCCUAGUUGUAGAGAGAAUGCCACUCUUUGAGGAGUUCGUAGUUGGUCUACUGAAAGGCAAAGUUUCUGCUCCUAUCCAAUAAUCCCUCAUUUUCCAAUGCAUGGCAUUUUCAAAUUUCCAGACCUUCGUCCUGUACAACACCUAUUACAGGACUAAGCUCCCUGUUGUGUUUAUUGUAAAUAAUCAAUUUGUUUUUUUUUUGUUCUAAACUUGCAUAAAUAUUUUACACUGGAUGUUUAAAAUCAAUCUAUCAACUAGCUUCCAGUAGUUUUGAGUACUCUCAGAUCUACGUGUAAUGACCACAAUUAUUCAAAUUCCUAAGCAGGUAGGGAUUUUACAGUAGAGCGGUAUAUAAAGAAAUACGAAUUUCUUGAAUUUUGUUACGUUAGUAUGAACAGAACAGAACUUUUGCACUAGGCAUCGACUAUGUGUGUAUGUGUUUGUGUGGCUAGGGUGAAGGUUUAAGAAUCAAAAUAUUGAUGGUUGAUGUCUUUCUAGCCAAAAGGAUAGUGUUAUUAUAUAGUAUAAUAUCAGUGUUUACGUGCACGUGCCAAUUUUUUUUUAAUGAAGGAUCGUCAAUAUGUACUAUCCAUUAAGUUAAACGUAUAUAUCGAUCAUAACGGAAUAGAUUUGAAAAUACCAAACAGGGUGUACUGCUUAAUUAAAAGGAUACGCGGAUCUAUGAUGGGCAGUACAUAUUGUAAAUAUUUUUUUUUAAUAUUUGAUUUUCCAAUUGUACUGCGUUAUUUAAUUCCCCAUUCAGAUGUUAUGGUAAAUUAUUCAUAAUUCUUCGAACUUUUCAUCAUGUAUAUUAUAAUUAUCAUGAUUAAAUGACCAGA